rnacentral:rRNA from 1 species
UACGGGGGGUGCAAGCGUUGUCCGGAAUUACUGGGCGUAAAGGGCGUGUAGGUGGCUUGUUAAGUCAGAUGUGAAAGCCCACGGCUUAACCGUGGAACUGCAUUUGAAACUGGCAGGCUUGAGUAUGAGAUGGGGUAGUGGAAUUCCCAGUGUAGCGGUGAAAUGCGUAGAUAUUGGGAAGAACACCAGUAGCGAAGGCGGCUACCUGGCUCAUUACUGACACUAAUGCGCGAAAGCGCGGGGAGCAAACAGG